GUCCGUUUGGGGACAUCCGAUAAAAUUGGAACGAUACAGAGAAGAUUAGCAUGGCCCCUGCACAAGGAUGACACGCACAAAUCAAGAAUUGGUCCAAAUUUUU
rnacentral:snRNA from 1 species